rnacentral:rRNA from 1 species
AACGAACGCUGGCGGCAUGCCUAACACAUGCAAGUCGAACGAACCCUUCGGGGUUAGUGGCGCACGGGUGCGUAACGCGUGGGAAUCUGCCCUUUGCUUCGGAAUAACAGUUAGAAAUGACUGCUAAUACCGGAUGAUGUCUUCGGACCAAAGAUUUAUCGGCAAAGGAUGAGCCCGCGUAGGAUUAGGUAGUUGGUGGGGUAAAGGCCUACCAAGCCGACGAUCCUUAGCUGGUCUGAGAGGAUGAUCAGCCACACUGGGACUGAGACACGGCCCAGACUCCUACGGGAGGCAGCAGUGGGGAAUAUUGGACAAUGGGCGAAAGCCUGAUCCAGCAAUGCCGCGUGAGUGAUGAAGGCCUCGGUGUAA